GACGAACGCUGGCGGCGUGCUUAACACAUGCAAGUCGAACGCGCCUGUCCUCUGGGUUUCUGGGGGGUGGGUGAGUGGCGAACGGGUGAGUAACACGUGAGUAACCUGCCCCCUUCUUCGGGAUAACGGUCUGAAAGGGCUGCUAAUACCGGGUAUUCACUGGUCUCCGCAUGGGGUCUGGUGGAAAGGUUUUUUUCUGGUGGGGAUGGGCUCGCGGCCUAUCAGCUUGUUGGUGGGGUGAUGGCCCACCAAGGCUUUGACGGGUAGCCGGCCUGAGAGGGUGACCGGUCACAUUGGGACUGAGAUACGGCCCAGACUCCUACGGGAGGCAGCAGUGGGGAAUAUUGCACAAUGGGCGCAAGCCUGAUGCAGCGACGCCGCGUGAGGGAUGGAGGCCUUCGGGUUGUGAACCUCUUUCGCCCGUGGUCAAGCCGCGACGUGGGUCGUGGUGAGGGUAGUGGGUAAAGAAGCGCCGGCUAACUACGUG
rnacentral:rRNA from 1 species